GGAUAGACCCACCUCCUUAUGUCCCCCAGGUACCAAGCAGACAGCACCAGCCAGCUUGUCCUUGGAAACUGAGAAUAGACCCACCUCCUCAUGUCCUCCAGGCAACAAGAUUUCAGACAAUCGUCCACCAGCAAAACGAGUCUGGGCAACUGAUGAUUUCCACACGGCAUCAAAUUCUCCACCUAAAAAGCCUUUCCACAACAUAAAUGAACAACUACUGACAGAGGAGCUACAGAGAAACGCAGUUCAGAACUUCUGGUGUGUCAGUGCAACUCAUUGUCAAAGUGAUGAAAGGUACACAGAAUUCUCUCGAAAUCAUCAGUGCAC